GACGAACGCUGGCGGCGUGCCUAAUACAUGCAAGUCGAGCGAACAGACGAGGAGCUUGCUCCUUUGACGUUAGCGGCGGACGUGUGAGUAACACGUGGAUAACCUCCCUAUCAGUCUGGGAUAUCUUCGGGAAACCGGCGCUAAUACCGGAUAACAUCCUGCACCGCAUGGUUCAUUAGUGAAAUACGGCCUUGCUGUCACUAAUCGAUGGAUCCGCGCCGCAUUAGCUAGUUGGUACGGUAACGGCUUAUCAAGGCAACGAUGCGUAGCCGACCUGAGAGGGUGAUCGGCCACACUGGAACUGAGACACGGUCCAGACUCCUACGGGAGGCAGCAGUAGGGAAUCUUCCGCAAUGGGCGAAAGCCUGACGGAGCAACGCCGCGUGAGUGAAGAAGGUCUUCGGAUCGUAAAACUCUGUUAUUAGGGAAGAACAAAUGUGUAAGUAACUAUGCACGUCUUGACGGUACCUAAUCAGAAAGCCACGGCUAACUACGUG
rnacentral:rRNA from 1 species